CCUACGGGGGGCUGCAGUGGGGAAUAUUGGACAAUGGGCGAAAGCCUGAUCCAGCCAUGCCGCGUGUGUGAAGAAGGCCUUCGGGUUGUAAAGCACUUUCAGUGGGGAAGAAAGCCUUGGGGCUAAUACCCUCGAGGAAGGACAUCACCCACAGAAGAAGCACCGGCUAACUCCGUGCCAGCAGCCGCGGUAAUACGGAGGGUGCGAGCGUUAAUCGGAAUUACUGGGCGUAAAGCGCGCGUAGGCGGUCUGAUAAGCCGGUUGUGAAAGCCCCGGGCUCAACCUGGGAACGGCAUCCGGAACUGUCAGGCUAGAGUGCAGGAGAGGAAGGUAGAAUUCCCGGUGUAGCGGUGAAAUGCGUAGAGAUCGGGAGGAAUACCAGUGGCGAAGGCGACCUUCUGGACUGACACUGACGCUGAGGUGCGAAAGCGUGGGUAGCAAACAGGAUUAGAUACCCCGGUAGUC
rnacentral:rRNA from 1 species